UACAGAGGGUGCGAGCGUUGUUCGGAAUUACUGGGCGUAAAGCGCACGUAGGCGGAUUUGUAAGUCAGGGGUGAAAUCCCGGGGCUCAACCUCGGAACUGCCUUUGAUACUGCAAAUCUCGAGUCCGGAAGAGGUGAGUGGAAUUCCUAGUGUAGAGGUGAAAUUCGUAGAUAUUAGGAAGAACACCAGUGGCGAAGGCGGCUCACUGGUCCGGUACUGACGCUGAGGUGCGAAAGCAUGGGGAGCGAACAGG
rnacentral:rRNA from 1 species